UACGAAGGGUGCAAGCGUUAAUCGGAAUUACUGGGCGUAAAGCGUGCGUAGGCGGUUCGUUAAGUGCGUCGUGAAAGCCCCGGGCUCAACCUGGGAAUGGCGAUGGAAACUGGCGGGCUGGAGUAUGGCAGAGGGGGGUGGAAUUCCGCGUGUAGCAGUGAAAUGCGUAGAGAUGCGGAGGAACACCGAUGGCGAAGGCAGCCCCCUGGGCCGAUACUGACGCUCAGGCACGAAAGCGUGGGGAGCAAACAGG
rnacentral:rRNA from 1 species